AUGAAGUUUAUGACGUGAAAUUAAUUUGGUACUUCAACUUACCUACGCACAUGGUAACGGCAAUAUAUUAAGAAAAGUAUCUGUUUAAGUAUUGUUUCGCUCACAAAUAUUAUCUUUUAACGCACUUAAACGAUAAUGCAAUUAAUUGAACCCGUAAAAUAACCAUACAUUUUCACUUGUCUUAUUCGACUUAAUCCGGUUACUUUCGGUACCAAUACCAACCAACUCACUUCGACAUUUCUGGUCAUCAGAGUUUUAAAAAGAAAGGUUAUUUCUUACACACGCGAAUAAACAAUACAGUGAAUAAGUGAACUUUUAAAUUGAAAUCGUUUAAUAAAACCUUUACAAAACAUAAAGUGUAUGUUCUGUGCGUUGUUUUAUAGGAAAAUACAACAACAACAUAGUCACUCGAAACAAACUGAGGAAUGAGACAGAUACGUAAAAUAAGAAGCAAAUGGCUGGAAUGCUUUGAUACGUCAUUGCGCAAUGCGUGAAUUUUAGCAUGGAUGUAGUCAUGUGGUCAUGUCCAGAUUGAAAUAAUUAGGGAGGGAGAUAAGCGGUUAUCCUUUCUCCAGAGCGAGUUUCAAAGCGGUUGAUGUAAGAUCGCACGUGUAGUCCGCGUGGUAUUCGCAAAAACGUGCUGUUGUUUUCCCGAACCGUUUCGACUUCCAUCGAAAGCACUUCACGGGAUUGAUGG